rnacentral:rRNA from 1 species
UAUUGGACAAUGGGCGCAAGCCUGAUCCAGCAAUACCGCGUGUGUGAAGAAGGCCUUAGGGUUGUAAAGCACUUUCAAUUGGGAGGAAAACCUGCCGGUCAAUACCCGGUAGCUUGACAUUACCUUUAGAAGAAGCACCGGCUAACUCCGUGCCAGCAGCCGCGGUAAUACGGGGGGUGCGAGCGUUAAUCGGAAUUACUGGGCGUAAAGCGUGCGUAGGCGGUUCGUUAAGUCAGAUGUGAAAGCCCUGGGCUCAACCUGGGAACUGCAUUUGAAACUGGCGGACUAGAGUUUAGUAGAGGGGAGUGGAAUUUCAGGUGUAGCGGUGAAAUGCGUAGAUAUCUGAAGGAACACCAGUGGCGAAGGCGACUCCCUGGACUAGAACUGACGCUGAGUACGAAA